rnacentral:rRNA from 1 species
GAUGAACGCUGGCGGCGUGCCUAAUACAUGCAAGUCGAACGAGGUGCUUUUGUAGCAAUACGAAAGUAUCCUAGUGGCGAACGGGUGAGUAACGCGUUGGUGACCUACCCCAAAGUGUGGGAUAACAGCUCGAAAGGGCCGCUAAUACCCCAUGUGGUCGCGAAGGUUAGAGGCUUUGCGAUUAAAGGAGUAAUCCACUUCGGGAGGGGCCUGCGUCCCAUCAGCUAGUUGGUAGGGUAAAAGCCUACCAAGGCGACGACGGGUAGGGGACCUGAGAGGGUGACCCCCCACACUGGCACUGAAACACGGGCCAGACACCUACGGGUGGCAGCAGUAGGGAAUAUUGCACAAUGGGCGAAAGCCGGAUGCAGCAACGCCGCGUGCGCGAUGAAGGCCUUCGGGUCGUAAAGCGCUUUUUGGGGAGAUGAGGAAGGACAGUAUCCCCAGAAUAAGGUUCGGCUAACUACGUGCCAGCAGCCGCAGUAAAAC